AAGAUUUCUUGAAUAUGAUUUUAGAAUUAUUCAACAAGAUGAGACAAUUGACAAAAAGAUUCAAGCUUUAACACACAGCUCACAUUCAUACAGAGAUUCAAUUUGACAAAAAAGCUAUAAACUUUGGUUCUAACAAACCCUAUUUACUCAAUUAUGGCACCAAACUUGUGAAGGAGCUGAACAAAAUCGUAAUCAACACAAUGAAAUCAAACGUAACAUCAUCACAACGCAAACAUCUAAACACUCGAGCUUGAGCGAAUCGAUUCAUGAUCUUCACAAAAUUCAGAAUUCAAAAGAGGGGGUUUUGAGUUAUUUAACACAUACAUCUUCAUCAACGGACUCACUUCUAUUGGAGCUUUAGCUUCUCUUCCUACCUUAAAUUCGCGGGUAAAUUUUGAUAAAAGCACUUGGCUUUAUACGAUUGAAAGAGAACAAUCGUGAAAUUGAUCGCCAUCGGAGAGACGAUAAAGAGAGAGAGACAACAGAACACGGGCAACCAAUUCGAACCAAUUUUAAGACGAUCCAGACCAAACUCUUCGAUUUCACCAUCGGAGACAAGAGAGAAAGGAGACCAGAACGAGACGAGAAAAAACAAAGACGUUCGUCUCUUAAGGUAUUUUGUUGUCUCUUAAGUAAGAGACGUUCCUUAACAUUAUUCAAUAUUUGGCAUUUAAUUUUAUUUAUAUAAUUACCUAAAAUUUCUCUAAGAUAUGUCUAAGAGCUUACCGAUAAUGGUGCUCUAUAGUGUAUCAAUUUAUAUAUUAUGAGAGUGAAUGAUGUUUACACCAAGGCAGAUCAAAGAGUAGAUCGAACCAAAACAAAAGAGACAAAAUUUUCAAAUCAAGAGCUAUGAUUGAUCAAGUGGCUUCGGCUUGAAAUACAUCAAACAGUCCAUCAUUUAAAGGAGACUGAUUAAGACAAAACACCCCUAGAUUGAUAACAUUCAUAAGAUGGUCCAAUCACGAAUAAGCCAAACUGCCCAACAAAAAAUCCACUCGAGUAAAUGAUUUUUUCUUGAAUUUUCACCAAUAAAUCCAUCAUUUUGAAGGUAAUGGUCAAGACAAAUUGGCAAUAGAUCAUACUGGAUCAAGACAUAGACAAGAGACCACACUCACAGCUAUUAAACCGAACACUUUAAACACCACUUAAGAGAGUUUUUAGCCUAGUCACAUCCAUUUAAACUCAUGGC
rnacentral:lncRNA from 1 species